rnacentral:rRNA from 1 species
UACGUAGGCAGCGAGCGUUGUUCGGAGUUACUGGGCGUAAAGGGUGUGUAGGCGGUUCUUUAAGUUUGGUGUGAAAUCUCCCGGCUUAACCGGGAGGGUGCGCCGAAUACUGAGGGACUAGAGUACGGGAGAGGAAAGUGGAAUUCCUGGUGUAGCGGUGAAAUGCGUAGAUAUUGGGAGGAACACCAGUGGCGAAGGCGGCUACCUGGACCGGUUCUGACGCUGAUGCGCGAAAGCGUGGGUAGCAAACAGG